AAAUUAUUGAAUUUUUGUUAAAAAAACAUAAACGUUUUUUUUAUAGUAAAUAUUUAUGUUUAAAAAUUAUGCUCUAUAUAAUUUUGUUGUAAGUUUAAUCGUUUUUAAGUUAAGUUCAAAAAACUGAAAAACAACCCCUCAGGCUCGAUUUUCAAUUCUCUUGUGGCACGUGUUAAAGUUGAUUUAUCAUGACCAAAUUUGGUAAUGGGGCGAUGGAUGACAAAUAAAGCGAGGUCAAAAAGGCUCAUUGUACCACGAAGCGACGCAGAAAUGUGUUUGAAGAAUGUAAUCGUACCGGAACAUUUUCAAAAAUUAUGUUGACAAAAAAAAUUUUCAUGCAAUAUAUUUGGAUGGGACACAUAAAAUACAUCCCAAAAUUGGCCUAGGCGGAAAACAACUCGACUCGAUAUAAUUAUUUAUUAUACAAUCGGAAAUCAUUGAACUCAACAACGCAUCACAAAUAAGUAGUGAGGGCAAGUAAGACAAACCACAAAAUAAUUUCAACCAAUUGCCAGAUACUGAAUUGUUAUCAAUAUAUAUCUGUUUUAGUACUAUAAUUAAACUUAUUUUUCGAUACCAUAGCAUGUAUAUUUCUUUACAAGUUUUAUAAGCUUCAAUUUUAAAGUCUAAUAAAAUAAAAAUGGGUUGAAAUAAGUUGUUUUUAACAUAUGUAGAACAUAUGGUCCACAUUUUUUAAUAAAUAUCUUCUGUUGUUGACGGUAAAAAAAAAAUUAAAUGUAAAUAAUAAUUAU